rnacentral:rRNA from 1 species
UACAGAGGGGGCAAGCGUUGUUCGGAAUUACUGGGCGUAAAGGGCGCGUAGGCGGCCUUCUAAGUCGAACGUGAAAUCCCCGGGCUCAACCCGGGAACUGCGUCCGACACUGGAAGGCUUGAAUCCGGGAGAGGGAUGCGGAAUUCCAGGUGUAGCGGUGAAAUGCGUAGAUAUCUGGAGGAACACCGGUGGCGAAGGCGGCGACCUGGUCCGAUACUGACGCUGAGGUGCGAAAGCGUGGGGAGCAAACAGG